CUUAAUUAGUUUAUUUAAAAUAUUAAAUUGUGGAUUUAAAGAUGAAUUUUCAUUGGGAA
rnacentral:tRNA from 1 species